GAAAGUGAUUAUAUGAUGA
rnacentral:miRNA from 1 species